CAUGGUGGGGGUUAAAUUGAUCCCUCGACUCUGAUAGGCCAUGUGUUUUUUUUAGCCAGUUCAAAGGAGCGUGUUUGUUGUUUUUUUGCUGUCAGAGAGCUUGGUUCACAUCAGAAAGAGGCUAGGAUUCACAGCAAUGGAACGAGAGCAUGCAGGCUUAUGACCAACCUCCAGAAAGUUUGUCUGCAUUGGGGUCCACACGUAAAUCUGCGAGGUAUACUGCAGUGCUCAGCCCCGAGGAACCUGGAGGAACACGUUUGUCACUGGAGGCCUGCAGAAGGGCGCUGGGAUCUUGGCCCCUGGGCCUCUUUAUGAAGGCGGGAGUCUGCAGAAGAUCGAGGCCGCAAAGGUGCUCCUGGUCACAUGGGAUGGAGAAAAGCAGUGUUGGGGGGGCUUCCUUUUUCCCGAAGCCCAUUAGGUAGUUUUCCUAGUUAAAAAUACCCUAAAUUAGUUUUUUUUCUACUUUGCGUUGAGCAGUGCAGUAAUACGUAAGCUUCCUUCAUCUGCCAAAAUACUCGGUGUGAUAUUUUCAGAGCCAUGAGAGAGGAGAUGGGAGAAAAGGCUGGCUUCAGGCGCUGCUGUUUGGGCUGAGGAAUGGAUGUGACCUCUGAGGUCUGGGGUGUGCUCUCCUGGUGAGUGGAUGAGUUGACUAGCAGGUCCAGGUGGUCUACAGGUGUCCCCACAUCUAUCAAUGAGUCACACAGUGUGCAGUGAGGAGAGUGCACACUGCACACUGCACACUGCACCCUGUCUGCUUGGCCUGAGGCUCAGGGCGACGGAGGAAAGUGCGACUCGGUCGCUGACCAGCUGCCCAUUUCUUGUCGUUUAGGGAUUUAAAGGUCUGCUAGUUUAGAGCCCCUCCCUGCCAAGGAAUCACAUGCAGUGUUUAUGUCUGCACCUCCUGAAUUCUUCAGCAUAAUUCCGCCAGGUUUCUGGUCACUGUAGCACGCAAAGUGUCAAUUUAGAGUGUGUCGUUACUUCCUGUCACUUGAUACAUCACCUCACGAAUGCCCCCCCCCCCACCAAAUCUUUCCUUUGUUGCCGUGAGCUAAGCAGCCGUGAAAUUGCCUGAAUGAUGGUGCUCGAAUCCAAUCUCUGUGCACACCCACCCCUGCAGUCAGUGUCAGACCCCUGGGAGUUGAUACGGGGGGGAGGGGGUUAAGCUCCAGUUCCUUUAAAUAAGGUCCGAUUGGGCCUGUGCCUGUCGCAGCAGAAUCAAGUUUUGUUCCUGCAGACCUGCACUCUGUGGUUACCUGGGUGGUCUGGUGUUCUCAGCCCAAUGGAACCGUGACCUGUUGGACUGUACCGCUGAAUGACUGCUAUAGUCCAUUUAAAAUUGCCAUGGUAACAUCUCCACACUUUGUAUUUUAUGUUUGUUUUUUUCUUCUUUUUUUUCUUUUACUUCGCAACAUGCUAAUGAAUGAGAGGUGUGUGUAAAUACUGGACCCAAGCUAAACAGUUUUCUUUUCUUUUUUUACAGAUGAGUAGAUGUCAGUGGUAACUCCAUUUGCUUAUGAAAAAGAAAAAAAGGGCUAGAAAUUAAUAUGAUAUGUCUGAAGGGUCUCCUUGGAAACAAGAUUU